UUGGGCGUAAGCGAGCGCAGGCGGUUAGAAAAGUCUGAAGUGAAAGGCAGUGGCUCAACCAUUGUAGGCUUUGGAAACUGUUUAACUUGAGUGCAGAAGGGGAGAGUGGAAUUCCAUGUGUAGCGGUGAAAUGCGUAGAUAUAUGGAGGAACACCGGUGGCGAAAGCGGCUCUCUGGUCUGUCACUGACGCUGAGGCUCGAAAGCGUGGGGAGCGAACAGGAUUAGAUACCCUGGUAGUCCACGCCGUAAACGAUGAGUGCUAGGUGUUGGGUCCUUUCCGGGGCUCAGUGCCGCAGCUAACGCAUUAAGCACUCCGCCUGGGGAGUACGACCGCAAGGUUGAAACUCAAAGGAAUUGACGGGGGCCCGCACAAGCGGUGGAGCAUGUGGUUUAAUUCGAAGCAACGCGAAGAACCUUACCAGGUCUUGACAUCCCAGUGACCACCCUAGAGAUAGGGUUUCCCUUCGGGGCACUGGUGACAGGUGGUGCAUGGUUGUCGUCAGCUCGUGUCGUGAGAUGUUGGGUUAAGUCCCGCAACGAGCGCAACCCUUAUUGUUAGUUGCCAUCAUUGAGUUGGGCACUCUAGCGAGACUGCCGGUAAUAAACCGGAGGAAGGUGGGGAUGACGU
rnacentral:rRNA from 1 species